GGGAAAGUGGCUCAGUGGUAGAGUGCUUGUCUUGCAUGCAUGAGGCCCUGGGUUCAAUUCCUCAGCACCA
rnacentral:tRNA from 1 species